ensembl:ncRNA lncRNA:CR46077 long non-coding RNA:CR46077
AGGCAUUAGGCCAGGCAGUGACAAAUAAACAGUGACAGGACGCAAACAAACAGACGAACAAUCGACAUGGGAUCGGGACGAGGAGCAAGAUGAAGCAGCGGCAGACGAGGACAAUUCGUCGUCAUCAGGAGCCUCAUUUUGGACUUAAUAUAAUACGCAGCGACGCGUCAAGGGACUGAAGAUGAGGAUGUGGAUGGAUGUGGCUCACUCUGUGGACUGCGGAGCUGGAAAGGCGUAGAAAUCAUUGCAGACAUAUGAAAUAUUAAAUAUGUAUGACCGCAAACUCACACAUAAACAUGCAGAAAGUAUGGUGUGCACU